rnacentral:rRNA from 1 species
AGAUUGAACGCUGGCGGCAGGCCUAACACAUGCAAGUCGAGCGGCAGCACGGGUACUUGUACCUGGUGGCGAGCGGCGGACGAGUGAGUAAUGCCUAGGAAUCUGCCUGGUAGUGGGGGAUAGCGCUCGGAAACGGACGCUAAUACCGCAUACGUCCUACGGGAGAAAGCAGGGGACCUUCGGGCCUUGCGCUAUCAGACGAGCCUAGGUCGAUUAGCUAGUUGGUGAGGUAAUGGCUCACCAAGGCGACGAUCCGUAACUGGCCUGAGAGGAUGAUCAGUCACACUGGAACUGAGACACGGUCCAGACUCCUACGGGAGCAGCAGUGGGGAAUAGUUGGACAAGUGGGACGAAAGCCUGACUCCAGCCAGUCGCCGCGUGUGUACGAAAGAAGGUUC